UUCUCCUCCACCGACCCCAACCCCACAAACACCGAUGAGCUCAAUCCACACCGGUGUCCGUCAACGUGGUAGCCAUCCACCGCGAGAGGAAAAUCAUUUGGCGAUCAAAAAUCACAAAUCACACCGGCAGUCAAUUUUCAUCCGGACAAAGACCAUUGGUGUGAGUUGUGGUUCUUCAAUCUGUUGAAAAUAGAAAACCAGAAAGAGCAUUAGGUUUGUGGGAAGAAGAAGAGGGAGAGAAAGAGGAAGAGGAAGAAGAAGAAUGGCCAGAGAACGUACUAUUGGAUGAUUUUCCCCUCGCCACCGGUGGCUUCCAUGUUGACGGACGCAGGUGAUUGUGGGGUAGGGCUCGGUGGGGUUAACAUUGGUUGUUGGGGCGGAACAGCAUAGA